rnacentral:rRNA from 1 species
UACGUAGGGUGCAAGCGUUGUCCGGAAUUAUUGGGCGUAAAGAGCUCGUAGGCGGUUUGUUGCGUCGAAUGUGAAAACCCGGGGCUCAACCCCGGGCCUGCAUUCGAUACGGGCAGACUAGAGUUCGGUAGGGGAGUCUGGAAUUCCUGGUGUAGCGGUGAAAUGCGCAGAUAUCAGGAGGAACACCGGUGGCGAAGGCGGGACUCUGGGCCGAUACUGACGCUGAGGAGCGAAAGCGUGGGGAGCAAACAGG